GACGAACGCUGGCGGCGUGCUUAACACAUGCAAGUCGAACGGAAAGGCCCUGCUUUUGUGGGGUGCUCGAGUGGCGAACGGGUGAGUAACACGUGAGUAACCUGCCCUUGACUUUGGGAUAACUUCAGGAAACUGGGGCUAAUACCGGAUAGGAGCUCCUGCUGCAUGGUGGGGGUUGGAAAGUUUCGGCGGUUGGGGAUGGACUCGCGGCUUAUCAGCUUGUUGGUGGGGUAGUGGCUUACCAAGGCUUUGACGGGUAGCCGGCCUGAGAGGGUGACCGGGCAAAAUGGGGACGGGGAAACGGCCCGGACCCUAGGGGAGGGAAGAGGGGGGGAAAAUGGCACAAGGGGCGAAGGCUUGAGGAAGAAAGCCGGGGUGGGGAAGAAGGGCCUUCGGGUGGUAAACGGCUUUGGCUGGGAACGAGGGGGGGGGAACGGUAAGGGGAAAGAAAGCACCGACAAAUUAGGU
rnacentral:rRNA from 1 species